GAUGAACGCUGGCGGCGUGCCUAAUACAUGCAAGUCGAGCGAACAGACGAGGAGCUUGCUCCUCUGACGUUAGCGGCGGACGGGUGAGUAACACGUGGAUAACCUACCUAUAAGACUGGGAUAACUUCGGGAAACCGGAGCUAAUACCGGAUAAUAUAUUGAACCGCAUGGUUCAAUAGUGAAAGACGGUUUUGCUGUCACUUAUAGAUGGAUCCGCGCCGCAUUAGCUAGUUGGUAAGGUAACGGCUUACCAAGGCGACGAUGCGUAGCCGACCUGAGAGGGUGAUCGGCCACACUGGAACUGAGACACGGUCCAGACUCCUACGGGAGGCAGCAGUAGGGAAUCUUCGGCAAUGGGCGAAAGCCUGACGGAGCAACGCCGCGUGAGUGAAGAAGGUCUUCGGAUCGUAAAACGCUGUUAUUAGGGAAGAACAAAUGUGUAAGUAACUAUGCACGUCUUGACGGUACCUAAUCAGAAAGCCACGGCUAACUACGUG
rnacentral:rRNA from 1 species